rnacentral:rRNA from 1 species
UAAGGAAUAUUGGUCAAUGGACGCAAGUCUGAACCAGCCAUGCCGCGUGAAGGAUGAAGGUCCUCUGGAUUGUAAACUUCUUUUAUCUGGGACGAAAACGGGAUUUUUAUCUCAAUUGACGGUACCAGAGGAAUAAGCACCGGCUAACUCCGUGCCAGCAGCCGCGGUAAUACGGAGGGUGCGAGCGUUAUCCGGCUUUACUGGGUUUAAAGGGUGCGUAGGUGGGCUUAUAAGUCAGUGGUGAAAUCUCCGAGCUUAACUUGGAAACUGCCGUUGAUACUAUAGGUCUUGAAUUAUCUGGAGGUAAGCGGAAUAUGUCAUGUAGCGGUGAAAUGCUUAGAUAUGACAUAGAACACCAAUUGCGAAGGCAGCUUACUACAUAUAAAUUGACGCUGAGGCACGAAAGCGUGGGGAUCAAACA